rnacentral:misc_RNA from 1 species
UUGAUUAAAUCUGGUCAGGCUAGCUGCUGGCUUUUCGGAGUAUGUGCACGCCUGUCCAUUUUUAUUUUAACCACCUGUGCACUCCUUGUAGAUCUGAAAUUUUACUCAGGUUCACCAACCUGGUUAGAGGAAUUGCUAUAUAUCAUAGCUGUCCUUGAAUUUCAGACCUAUGUCUUUAUUAUACACCAUAAAUAUGAUAGAAUGUUUAAUGAUUAAGGCUUGAUUGCCUUUUAAUAACAUUAUA